UACGUAGGGGGCAAGCGUUGUCCGGAAUUAUUGGGCGUAAAGCGCGUGUAGGCGGUCCGGUAAGUCCGCUGUGAAAGUCAAAGGCUCAACCUUUGAAUGUCAGCGGAUACUGCCGGGCUAGAGUCCGGAAGAGGCGAGUGGAAUUCCUGGUGUAGCGGUGGAAUGCGCAGAUAUCAGGAGGAACACCAACGGCGAAGGCAGCUCGCUGGGACGGUACUGACGCUGAGGCGCGAAAGCGUGGGGAGCGAACAGG
rnacentral:rRNA from 1 species